CCUACGGGAGGCAGCAGUGGGGAAUAUUGCACAAUGGGGGAAACCCUGAUGCAGUGACGCCGCGUGAGUGAAGAAGUAUUUCGGUAUGUAAAGCUCUAUCAGCAGGGAAGAAAAUGACGGUACCUGAUUAAGAAGCCCCGGCUAACUACGUGCCAGCAGCCGCGGUAAUACGUAGGGGGCAAGCGUUAUCCGGAUUUACUGGGUGUAAGGGGAGCGUAGACGGCAGCACAAGUCUGGAGUGAAAUGCCGGGGCUUAACCCCGGAACUGCUUUGGAAACUGUGCAGCUAGAGUGCAGGAGAGGUAAGUGGAAUUCCUAGUGUAGCGGUGAAAUGCGUAGAUAUUAGGAGGAACACCAGUGGCGAAGGCGGCUUACUGGACUGUAACUGACGUUGAGGCUCGAAAGCGUGGGGAGCAAACAGGAUUAGAUACCCCUGUAGUC
rnacentral:rRNA from 1 species